rnacentral:lncRNA from 1 species
UCGUCUUCAGCACAACCUGUGGCUUCUUCUUCUUCUAUUCAAAAACAAAAAGGCACAGACACAUAUACAGGAAGAAGCAGUGUCUGUUGCCCCUUCUCCAUCUCCAAAACCGGUGACCCCUCGUCGAAAACCAACUCCUAUCAACUAGAACAGACGUGUUGAACACCAGCCAAUGACCCCGCUUCUGAACAUCCUAAUGCUAGUCAAAAUUUCAGUUUCGUCUCUUGAUUAUGGUCUCAAAGAUGGAGUUUGUCCGGAGCCGAUUUAAGUCACCGUUUGAAGUCUGAGUUCGUCGUUCCGGUUGGAGACAUCUCCACAUGAUGUUUUGGAUUGGUUCGCUGCUAGGAUUUGCAUAUCUAGAUUUGUUUGUACUUUCUAUAAUCAUUUUAAACAUCAAUUGAAAGCUUGAUUUUUAGGUUCAUAAACUAUUUCCCUCGUCUUAUUUAAUUUUAUUAGAUCUCUGUUACUUGUAUUCUGUUUUGCUUUCUUG